rnacentral:rRNA from 1 species
ACCGUGCCAGAGCGCAGCGCGAAGUCCCAUGCACGUAGGGCGCAAGCGUUGUGCGGUACUAGAGUGUGGUAGCGGCCGCCGCGGGAGAUCGGAAGUCGGAGUUGCUAGUAAUCGCAGGGUAUGUCGAAGGUGGAGUGCCCUUCGGCCAUUACUCGCGGUGAAAUGCGAACGAGCGUAAGUACAGAGGCGGAUCUCGCUGCACACGUGCUAUUUGGGCGACUGCGCCUUCGGUGCUCUUACGAAUGGCGAUGGGGUUAGUGGGGGGGCACAAGCAGCCCUUCGGGUCACAGCGGAUCAACUCGGAGGGACUGCCGGGGAAGGUGGGGACGACGCCCUUAUGUCAAGUCAUCAUGCUGAUUGGUCACUCUGGGGGAGUCUGAUCAGGUCUCACAAGAAGACGACUUACCGGAACUCUGGCCCGUGUUUGAGGGAUGAGCUUCGACCAUGGGAGUACAGUUUCGAAGAACCUUACCAAGACUGGCGAACACCCGAAGCCGGUGUGUCGUCAGCCCAACCCCUGCUCUCAGCCAAGGCCGGAUUCCAUCAGCAUUGGGGGUCUGCAACUCGACUGCGGUGAAUACGGGUUCCGCAAAGACACGGCCGCCUUGUGCUGAGUACCUCUUUUCAGGCGAAACAGAAGAAGCGCGGUACCCAGGGAUGGGCCUUCGGGUUGUAAACCUCUUUCAUAUGCAGAAGACAGGAGGACGACCCUGAUAACUACGUGUGAGAUGUGGGACGGCAUGGGUCGAAAGCGUGGCCCUGGUAGUCCACGGGGGAGCGACCGUAAACGUUACAGGAUUAGAUAGAACAUUAACAAGGUUGGGCGUACGGUAGUGUAAAUUCUGUAACCCCGGGAAUUAGCAUGAGUGUCAUAGCGGUGAAAUGCGCAGAUAUCAGGAGGACGUCGGAUGUCGAAGUGCACGUGCCCAUGCAAGUCGAGAUUGAAAGGUGGACUGAGGAGCCAAGGAAGCAAGGCUGGCGUGCUCCGACACCCUUAGAACGAAUGCUGGCGAGGGCUUGACCUUAAUUCCUGAUAUACCGGAAAGCAUCAGAGCCCCUUGUGGUCGGCGGCUACAGGACUAUCUCGUAGGGCAACGCGGUGCAGCUCGUGUCCCGUGGGGGCUUAAUUAGUUCCCCGCCGUUGGGAUGUGGGAGGGACGAAGUCGUAACAAGGUAUGGCUGCCGGGGUCAACUCGGAGGAAGCGAGAGCAUGCUAGGCCGGCAGCGGAUUGGGUGGAGGGACUCGGAGGGGGAGAUCGGAAGGAAGUGCACG